GAAAGAGGCCUUAAGCAAUAAGGACUGCUAACCCUUACCACCCGUGGUUAAAUCCCCGGCUCUUUC
rnacentral:tRNA from 1 species